AUUGAACGCUGGCGGCAGGCCUAACACAUGCAAGUCGAACGAGUGGCGGACGGGUGAGUAAUGUCUGGGCAACUGCCCGAUGGAGGGGGAUAACUACUGGAAACGGUAGCUAAUACCGCAUACCAUCGGAUGUGCCAAGAGGGGAUUAGCUAGUAGGUGGGGUAACGGCUCACCUAGGCGACGAUCCCUAGCUGGUCUGAGAGGAUGACCAGCCACACUGGAACUGAGACACGUUCCAUAUCCCUACGGUGGGCAGCAGUGGGGAAUAUUGCACAAUGGGCGAAAGCCUGAUGCAGACAUGCCGCGUGUAUGAAGAAGGCCGUCGGGUUGUAAAGUACUUUCAGCGAGGAGGCGUUACUCGCAGAAGAAGCACCGGCUAACUCCGUGCCAGCCGCCGCGGUAAUUC
rnacentral:rRNA from 1 species